AUUGAACGCUGGCGGCAGGCCUAACACAUGCAAGUCGAGCGGAUGAAGGGAGCUUGCUCCUGGAUUCAGCGGCGGACGGGUGAGUAAUGCCUAGGAAUCUGCCUGGUAGUGGGGGAUAACGUCCGGAAACGGGCGCUAAUACCGCAUACGUCCUGAGGGAGAAAGUGGGGGAUCUUCGGACCUCACGCUAUCAGAUGAGCCUAGGUCGGAUUAGCUAGUUGGUGGGGUAAAGGCCUACCAAGGCGACGAUCCGUAACUGGUCUGAGAGGAUGAUCAGUCACACUGGAACUGAGACACGGUCCAGACUCCUACGGGAGGCAGCAGUGGGGAAUAUUGGACGAUGGGCGAAAGCCUGAUCCAGCCAUGCCGCGUGUGUGAAGAAGGUCUUCGGAUUGUAAAGCACUUUAAGUUGGGAGGAAGGGCAGUAAGUUAAUACCUUGCUGUUUUGACGUUACCAACAGAGUAAGCACCGGCUAACUUCGUG
rnacentral:rRNA from 1 species